rnacentral:tRNA from 1 species
GGAGGAUUACCCAAGUCCGGCUGAAGGGAACGGUCUUGAAAACCGUCAGGCGUGUAAAAGCGUGCAAGAGUUCGAAUCUCUUAUCCUCCU